GACGAACGCUGGCGGCGUGCUUAACACAUGCAAGUCGAACGGAAAGGCCCUGCUUGCAGGGUACUCGAGUGGCGAACGGGUGAGUAACACGUGGGUGAUCUGCCCUGCACUUCGGGAUAAGCCUGGGAAACUGGGUCUAAUACGGGAUAGGAGCCAUUUUUAGUGUGAUGGUUGGAAAGUUUUUUCGGUGUAGGAUGAGCUCGCGGCCUAUCAGCUUGUUGGUGGGGUAAUGGCCUACCAAGGCGGCGACGGGUAGCCGGCCUGAGAGGGUGGACGGCCACAUUGGGACUGAGAUACGGCCCAGACUCCUACGGGAGGCAGCAGUGGGGAAUAUUGCACAAUGGGCGCAAGCCUGAUGCAGCGACGCCGCGUGGGGGAUGACGGCCUUCGGGUUGUAAACUCCUUUCGCUAGGGACGAAGCUUUUUGUGACGGUACCUAGAUAAGAAGCACCGGCUAACUACGUG
rnacentral:rRNA from 1 species